rfam:Ornithorhynchus anatinus chromosome X5, whole genome shotgun sequence.
UACCUCUCAGGGUCGCAUCUGAAGAAUUUCCAGUACUCUACCGGUGUCAACUACGGGAGGGAGAGCCAAGCAGAGGCAUAUUCAUUCCAUUCCUAGCUUGGGCAGUGGCUAGCGAGUGGAAGGCAAUCUGCUACAAGU